AUGCUGUCUACUGGCGUUCCCCUCACACUCUCACCGCUCGGCCCUCUCAUCGGCCUCACGUCCCCUUGGCGGCGGCGCCCUCCCCAUCGCUAUCCCCAACCCCGGCAGCAACCUCGUUUCCCUCAACAGCCAUAUCCUGCUCACGCUCACAUCGUCCUCCUCGACCUGCUCCUCCUGCCCGCGCUCCUCUCCAACUUCCUCCGCGCCGGCGUCCACCACGCCUCCGCACACAGCCUUCUCACCGAGGCAAGGGGCUUCCACUUCCGCUCCUCCCUCGUCGACCUCCCCACCGUCUCCGCCGCCCGCACCCUCCACAUCCUCUGCGCGUACACGGCGUGCGGGGGCGACGCGGCCUAUCGGUGGGUGGCGGCGGCCUGCAGCGUCAGCUCCCUCUUCUACGUCCUCGCCAAGGCCGUCGGCAGAUCGUCCAUGCGGCGGUAG
rnacentral:rRNA from 1 species